GACGAACGCUGGCGGCGUGCCUAAUACAUGCAAGUUGAGCGCUGAAGGUUGGUACUUGUACCAACUGGAUGAGCAGCGAACGGGUGAGUAACGCGUGGGGAAUCUGCCUUUGAGCGGGGGACAACAUUUGGAAACGAAUGCUAAUACCGCAUAAAAACUUUAAACACAAGGUUUAAGGUUGAAAGAUGCAAUUGCAUCACUCAAAGAUGAUCCCGCGUUGUAUUAGCUAGUUGGUGAGGUAAAGGCUCACCAAGGCGAUGAUAUAUAGCCGACCUGAGAGGGUGAUCGGCCACAUUGGGACUGAGACACGGCCCAAACUCCUACGGGAGGCAGCAGUAGGGAAUCUUCGGCAAUGGACGAAAGUCUGACCGAGCAACGCCGCGUGAGUGAAGAAGGUUUUCGGAUCGUAAAACUCUGUUGGUAGAGAAGAACGUUGGUGAGAGUGGAAAGCUCAUCAAGUGACGGUAACUACCCAGAAAGGGCCGGCUAACUACGUG
rnacentral:rRNA from 1 species